rnacentral:rRNA from 1 species
UGAGCAACCUGCCCCUGGCUCUGGGAUAACCCCGGGAAACCGGAGCUAAUACCGGAUACGAGACCGAUUGGCAUCUAUACGGUCUGGAAAGUUUUUCGGCCAGGGAUGGGCUCGCGGCCUAUCAGCUUGUUGGUGAGGUAAUGGCUUACCAAGGCGACGACGGGUAGCCGGCCUGAGAGGGUGACCGGCCACACUGGGACUGAGACACGGCCCAGACUCCUACGGGAGGCA